AUUGAACGCUGGCGGCAGGCCUAACACAUGCAAGUCGAGCGGAGAGAAGUAGCUUGCUACUGAUCUUAGCGGCGGAAGGGUGAGUAAUGCUUAGGAAUCUGCCUAUUAGUGGGGGACAACAUUUCGAAAGGAAUGCUAAUACAGCAUACGUCAUACGGGAGAAAGCAGGGGAUCGUCGGACCUUGCGCUAAUAGAUGAGACUAAGGAGGAUUAGCUAGUGGGGGGGGUAAAGGACUACCAAGGCGACGAUCUGUAGCGGGGCUGAGAGGCGGAUCCGCCACACGUGGACGAAGAAACGGCCCAGACUCCUACGGGAGGCAGCAGUGGGGAAUAUUGGACAAUGGGCGGAAGCCUGAUCCAGCCAUGCCGCGUGUGUGAAGAAGGCCUUAUGGUUGUAAAGCACUUUAAGCGAGGAGGAGGCUACUUUAGUUAAUACCUAGAGAUAGUGGACGUUACUCGCAGAAUAAGCACCGGCUAACUCUGUGCCAGCAGCCGCCGUAAUAC
rnacentral:rRNA from 1 species